rnacentral:misc_RNA from 1 species
UACGUAGGGUGCGAGCGUUAUCCGGAUUUACUGGGCGUAAAGUGUAUCGUCGGCGUCUUAGUAAGUUUCUUGUUUAAACCCAGGGCUCAACUCUGGAACAGCAAGAAAAACUACUAGGAUUGAGUAUGUUCGAGGAAACUGGAACACUCGGUGGAGGGGUGAAAUCCGUAGAUAUCGAGUGGAACACCAAUGGCGAAGGCAGGUUUCUAGGGCAUUACUGACGCUCAUGAACGACAGCUAGGGGAGCAAAAGGG